AUUGAACGCUAGCGGCAUGCCUUACACAUGCAAGUCGAACGGAGUGGCGAACGGGGGAGUAAUGUAUCUGAACGUGCCCCUUAGCGGGGGAUAACUACGCGAAAGCGUAGCUAAUACCGCAUACUUUUGGAGCGGCCUGUAUGGGAUUAGCUAGUGGGUGGGGUAAAGGCUCACCAAGGCGACGAUCCGUAGCUGGUUUGAGAGGACGACCAGCCACACUGGGACUGAGACACGGCCCAGACUCCUACGGGAGGCAGCAGUGGGGAAUAUUGGACAAUGGGGGAAACCCUGACCCAGCCAUGCCGCGUGUGCGAAGAAGGCCUUCGGGUUGUAAAGCACUUUUGGCAGGAAAGCGGUACCUGCAGAAUAAGCACCGGCUAACUACGUGCCAGCAGCCGCGGUAAUUC
rnacentral:rRNA from 1 species